rnacentral:rRNA from 1 species
UACAGAGGGUGCGAGCGUUAAUCGGAAUUACUGGGCGUAAAGCGUGCGUAGACGGCUAUUUAAGUCAGGGGUGAAAUCCUGGAGCUCAACUCCAGAACUGCCUUUGAUACUGAGAAGCUUGAGUCCGGGAGAGGUGAGUGGAACUGCGAGUGUAGAGGUGAAAUUCGUAGAUAUUCGCAAGAACACCAGUGGCGAAGGCGGCUCACUGGCCCGGUACUGACGCUGAGGUGCGAAAGCGUGGGGAGCAAACAGG